UGCAACUUCCCCCCUCCUCGCCUUUGCCCCCCCAAACCCCCUCCCCUCUAAGGUCGCAACCAGAAAGUUCACGCCCCCUGGAUGCUGCUACCAGCCUCGCGGGAGUGGAGGGGCGAGACAGUGGUGGUAGUGACAGUGGAGCAGGGAGGAGACGAUUGAGGUGGUGGUGUGUGAUAGUGAUAGAUAGAAGAAGAAAAUAUAAUAAUUUUUUUUUGUAAGUUGUAUUUGAGAUUAUAUGGAUUAAGUGUUUUUGGCAGCAUUUUUGGGAUGCAUUACUGUAGCA
rnacentral:lncRNA from 1 species